rnacentral:misc_RNA from 1 species
UAUCAACUCGAUAAACCACUUUAUGCUUCAUUAACAUAACAUGACAAUCCAAACAUACACAACCACUCUUUUCACAAUUACUAUAUAUUUCAGUAUUUAACAGCACAUGAAAUUCAACCUUAAAACUGAAACACACACCACCACCCUGUAUGCACAGAACAAAUCCUCUUAUAUCUAAGGUUCACCUCACCUCUUUCCUUUCUACAUUGUUGUUCACUUCCGCCGGGUUAGAAACAGUAUUAUCAAUUCUAAGGUUACAGAGCAGAGAAUCGCGUCCAGUUAAAAGGAUAUGGAAGAAUCUAUCUGCUUCCUUUGCUAGCAGAUCUAGUCCUCCUGAAAGUUUUUCCGCCUUUUCAGCCAGAUUUGAAGUUAAGAGCUGCAACUGCUCAGCUUCAUUAGGAUCUACUCCAUCCUGUAUGAGUGGAUAGAGCUUCUUCACACUUGUAUCCACUACUUCAAGCUCUUUCAGUGAUGUGAUCCUUCCACUUGAAUAUAUACUCCUGAUUUCCUGACUGAUAAAAUCGCGAACAUCAACAAAUGCUUCUGUCCACAAGCAAGUUUCAUGAAUCUGCAGGUCUUUCAACUCCUUUGUAGAACCGGAAAACGUGACAGCAAACAUGCUUAAUAUAAAUACAGUUACUACUCUCACUCCGUACAUUGCCCGCAUUAGAACCUUACCUUUUGCAGAAUUCUUGAUCUUAGGUAGGUUCAGUGAUUCGGUGAGGCUGUCCAAGAUGGCAAAACAAUUCUCUAAUCUUGGGUUCUUUGAAUUGAUAUGCUGCUUCCAUCCGUCAAAUGAGGAACGAGCUUUCAUGAACUGGUUUGACGUUCCAUCCAAGUUAUGCAAGCCACACUGAAGAUAAAGGUGGCCUUGGUUGAGCCUUGAGAUAUCAGAGCUGAAAGCAAUGCAAAUGUCCAGUAACUUCACACUGUUGUCCAAGUACACAUCUAUCCACUUCUCAUCCCAGUCACAUACGGGAAGUUCAAGAUCAGUAAUGAAAGUUUUCACGUCUGUAUGAAUUGCACAAAGUGUACUUAUUGCUUGUGUCAUCCAUGCCAACGUGAGGGUAUCUUCCUUACCUCCUGGCUUGAGACUCUUAACCCUCUCUGUCAAUGACUCCUCAAAGGCAUUUAAAAGAGCAAGAAGCUUAGGAGACAAGUACGAGCCCUUAGGUAAUAUAAAUUUGAAAGGAUUUCCAAAUGGGAGAAAAGGGCGGUGUGGUUCCUGUGGACGACUCAUUUGAAUAUCAAGAUAAGUAGAGAGAUGAUCGGAAAAUCGCCGC